rnacentral:lncRNA from 1 species
GGCCUCCACCACCUCGAAGUCCUUCACGUUCUGGUCCCACUUGGUCCUGAGCCCUCCGGCCACCGGCUUGAUGCACUCCCAGACCUGCUGCGGGCGGGCGGGCACGGUGCCUUCGGCGCGGUACACGUUGCCGGCGAACUCGGCGGACGGCCUCCAGGACACCGCGACCUCGUUCGUGCGGCGGCAGCUCCGCCAGCCGUCCGCGUCCCGCCGGUACAGCCCCAUCUUGUCGGCCGCCGACUCGGCGAGCCCCGCGUAGUCCAUGGCCGGGCAGGGCGGGGCAGCCGCUCGCACACCGCCUAUGAGGCGCCCGCGCCGCGCCGCCCCCGUGGGCCGAUGGCGG